GGAUAACCUACCCUUAGGACCGGGAUAACCCUGGGAAACUGGGGAUAAUACUGGAUAGGCAAUUUUUCCUGUAAUGGUUUUUUGUUUAAAUGUUUUUUCGCCUAAGGAUGGGUCUGCGGCCGAUUAGGUAGUUGGUUAGGUAAUGGCUUACCAAGCCGUUGAUCGGUACGGGUUGUGAGAGCAAGAGCCCGGAGAUGGAACCUGAGACAAGGUUCCAGGCCCUACGGGGUGCAGCAGGCGCGAAACCUCCGCAAUGUGAGAAAUCGCGACGGGGGGAUCCCAAGUGCCAUUCUUAACGGGAUGGCUUUUCAUUAGUGUAAAGAGCUUUUGGAAUAAGAGCUGGGCAAGACCGGUGCCAGCCGCCGCGGUAACACCGGCAGCUCUAGUGGUAGCAAUUUUUAUUGGGCCUAAAGCGUCCGUAGCCGGUUUAAUAAGUCUCUGGUGAAAUCCUGCAGCUUAACUGUGGGAAUUGCUGGAGAUACUAUUAGACUUGAGACCGGGAGAGGUUAGAGGUACUCCCAGGGUAGAGGUGAAAUUCUGUAAUCCUGGGAGGACCGCCUGUUGCGAAGGCGUCUAGCUGGAACGGUUCUGACGGUGAGGGACGAAAGUUAGGGGCGCGAACCGGAUUAGAUACCCGGGUAGUCCUAACUGUAAACGAUGCGGACUUGGUGUUGGGGUGGCUUUGAGCUGCUUCAGUGCCGAAGGGAAGCUGUUAAGUCCGCCGCCU
rnacentral:rRNA from 1 species